UGUGUUGGAUGGUGACAUAUUAAUCCCUUUACCUUUGAGGGGGCGGGGAGAUGUGUUUCAUGCCAAGGUACUCGUCACUGUUGUGUUGGAUGGUGACAUAUUAAUCCCUUUACCUUUGAGGGGGCGGGGAGAUCUGUUUCAUGCCAAGGUACUCGUCACUGUUGUGUUGGAUGGUGACAUAUUAAUCCCUUUACCUUUGAGGGGGCGGGAGAUGUGUUUCAUGCCAAGGUACUCGUCACUGUUGUGUUGGAUGGUGACAUAUUAAUCCCUUUUCCUUUGAGGGGGCGGGGAGAUGUGUUUCAUGCCAAGGUACUCGUCACUGUUGUGUUGGAUGGUGACAUAUUAAUCCCUUUUCCUUUGAGGGGGCGGGGAGAUGUGUUUCAUGCCUAGGUACUCUUCACUGUUGU